rnacentral:rRNA from 1 species
AGUGAACGCUGGCGGUAGGCCUAACACAUGCAAGUCGAACGGCAGCACAGUAAGAGCUUGCUCUUACGGGUGGCGAGUGGCGGACGGGUGAGGAAUACAUCGGAAUCUACUUUUUCGUGGGGGAUAACGUAGGGAAACUUACGCUAAUACCGCAUACGACCUACGGGUGAAAGCAGGGGAUCUUCGGACCUUGCGCGAUUGAAUGAGCCGAUGUCGGAUUAGCUAGUUGGCGGGGUAAAGGCCCACCAAGGCGACGAUCCGUAGCUGGUCUGAGAGGAUGAUCAGCCACACUGGAACUGAGACACGGUCCAGACUCCUACGGGAGGCAGCUGUGGGGAAUAUUGGACAAUGGGCGCAAGCCUGAUCCAGCCAUACCGCGUGGGUGAAGAAGGCCUUCGGGUUGUAAAGCCCUUUUGUUGGGAAAGAAAAGCAGCAGGUUAAUACCCCGCUGUUCUGACGGUACCAAAAGAAUAAGCACCGGCUAACUUCGUG